UACAGAGGGUGCGAGCGUUGUCCGGAAUCACUGGGCGUAAAGGGUGCGUAGGCGGGCAGGAAAGUCCGUGGUGAAAUCUCUGAGCUUAACUCAGAAACUGCCAUGGAUACUAUUUGUCUUGAAUAUUGUGGAGGUGAGCGGAAUAUGUCAUGUAGCGGUGAAAUGCUUAGAUAUGACAUAGAACACCAAUUGCGAAGGCAGCUCACUACACAAUUAUUGACGCUGAGGCACGAAAGCGUGGGGAUCAAACAGG
rnacentral:rRNA from 1 species